UAGCGUGUCAAUGUCUCGAUUGAGGUCGUGUAGAUGGUUCCUCCAACGUUCAAGGUGAUCAUCUUGCUGGCCAUCUUAGUGUAAUUAGUUAGUAGUCGAAACAGUGCAAUGUUCGGCCAAGUUUUUACUCUUCCUGGUGGUGUGGCAAAAACUCUG